AAGGGCACCACAAGAACGCGUGGAGCAUGUGGCUUAAUUUGACUCAACGCGGGAAAACUUACCGGGUCCGGACACACUGAGGAUUGACAGGCGAUAUAAAUAUGCUAGUCCUUUCAUGAUUGUGUGAUAGGUGGUGCAUGGCCGUUCUUAGUUCGUGGAGUGAUCUGUCUGCUUAAUUGCGUUUCAGAUAUAUGGGAAAAUGCAUGUAUACUGGCACGCACGCAAGUGUGUUGUUUGGUUGAGUGCUAUCCCUAUGAAAGCAACGAACGUGACCGCAGCCCAUUGUUAUGUGUGCAAACUUGUUAACGACACACACAAACUAUGGGGACCGCCAUGGCUUCAAGCCGGAGGAAGGUUGCGGCAAUAACAGGUCUGUGAUGCCCUUAGAUGUUCCGGGCUGCACACGUGCUACAAUGAUUGUUGCAGAAAGCAUCUACUAUUGAUUGUCUAAGAACCUGCUUUCGCAGGGGACUGGACCACGUACGAGGACCCACGCGUGUGUCACGCGCGCUUCGGUGCGUUGUGUUCGCGCGCGAGGAUGUCCAAGACGUGAAACCUACCUCGAAAGUACGGUAGGCAAUCAAUUCCAAGUGACAAUCUCCCGCGCACAAAUCAAAUGCCACCGCGGCACCUCACUCUGUGUGUGUGUUGCGGUUGACAUGUGCUCUAUUAAUUCGUGGUCGGGACAGACCAUUGCUAAUUGUUGGUCUCGGUCUCAACUAGGAAUGCCUUGUACGGGUCUUUGGUUCAACAAACCACCCGGAAUACGUCCCUGCCCUUUGUACACACCGCCCGUCGCUCUUACCGAUGGACUUCUCUGUGAGUUUGAGGGACUGACAUGAGUGCUCACGCGCUCGGUUAUGGAAACUCAAACGAACAGUGUGGUCUAAAGGAAAGAGAAGUCGUAACAAGGCAUCGGUAGGUGAACCUGCAGAAGGAUCA
rnacentral:rRNA from 1 species